rnacentral:rRNA from 1 species
AGUGGAUGCGAGCAUCUUGUUGUGAACAAGUGUUUAAGGGCACAUGGUGGAUGUCUAGGCAUCAGGAGCCGAUGAAGGACGUGGGAGGCCGCGAUAGGCCUCGGGGAGCUGUCAACCGAGCUGUGAUCCGAGGAUUUCCGAAUGGGGAAACCCGGCACCCGUCAUGGGGUGUCACCGUCAGCUGAAUACAUAGGCUGUCGGAGGGAACGUGGGGAAGUGAAACAUCUCAGUACCCACAGGAAGAGAAAACAACCGUGAUUCCGUGAGUAGUGGCGAGCGAAAGCGGAUGAGGCUAAACCUCGGUCGUGUCAAGCCGGCAGGCGUUGCGGCUGGGGUGUUGUGGGACGUGGUCGUGUGGAUCCUGCCGGGUCUGCGAGGUCGUGGUGUGGUGUUAGCGGAAGACUUCUGGAAAGGGUCGCCGUAGCGGGUGAGAGCCCCGUACGCGAAAACAUUGCAUGCGGUCUGGAUCGUGUUCCCGAGUAGCAGCGAGCUCGUGGAAUUUGCUGUGAAUCUGCCGGGACCACCCGGUAAGCCUAAAUACUCCCUGAUGACCGAUAGCGGACUAGUACCGUGAGGGAAAGAUGAAAAGUACCCCGGGAGGGGAGUGAAAUAGUACCUGAAACCGUGUGCCUACAAGCCGUCAGAGCCUUUGGGUGAUGGCGUGCCUUUUGAAGAAUGAGCCUGCGAGUUAUGCUUCGUGGCGAGGUUAACCCGUGUGGGGUAGCCGUAGCGAAAGCGAGUCUGAAUAGGGCGUUGUAGUCGCGGGGUGUAGACCCGAAGCGGAGUGAUCUACCCAUGGCCAGGGUGAAGCGUCGGUAAGACGUCGUGGAGGCCCGAACCCACCAGGGUUGAAAACCUGGGGGAUGAGCUGUGGGUAGGGGUGAAAGGCCAAUCAAACUCCGUGAUAGCUGGUUCUCCCCGAAAUGCAUUUAGGUGCAGCGUCGUGUGGUGGAUGCCGGAGGUAGAGCACUGGAUGGGCUAGGGGGCCUAAAAGCUUACUGAACUCAACCAAACUCCGAAUGCCGGUAUUUCUAGCGCGGCAGUGAGACUGCGGGGGAUAAGCUUCGUAGUCGAGAGGGAAACAGCCCAGAUCACCGGCUAAGGCCCCUAAGCGUGCGCUAAGUGGGAAAGGAUGUGGGAUCG